rnacentral:lncRNA from 1 species
CAUUGUGUAUGUUGGCUAACUCAUGUGGUUAUGCUAAAUAGUAGGCGACAUCUCCCACUUUAUCCAACAUCUCAAAAGGUAUGAUAAAUCUAAGAUUGAGUUUUCCUUUCCUCCAAAAUAUCAUGAUCCCUUUAAUUUAUGAGAUUUUUAAAAAUACAUGUUCACCUACUUCAAUCUAAAUCUCUUUUCCGAUUGUUGGCAUAAUUUUUCUGCCUACUUUGAUCUGUUAGAAGAUGUUUUCUAAUCAAUUUCACAUU